rnacentral:misc_RNA from 1 species
GAUGAAGAACGUAGCGAAAUGCGAUACUUGGUGUGAAUUGCAGAAUCCCGUGAACCAUCGAGUCUUUGAACGCAAGUUGCGCCCGAAGCCAUUAGGCCGAGGGCACGCCUGCCUGGGUGUCACACACCGUUACCCUCGCGCCAACGUCCAUCGUUGGCCGCGGCGCGGGGCGUGCGCUGACCUCCCGCGAGCGGGGUCUCGUGGUUGGUUGAAAAUCGAGUUCGCGGUCGAGGGUGCCGUGAUGAAAUGGUGGAUGGGCGACGCCCGAGGCCAAUGACGCGCGACUCUGUCCGGCUCGGACUCCUGGACCCCUUCGGCGUCUCCGGACGCUCUUUGGCGAGACCUCAGGUCCGGCGGGGCUAUCCGCUGAGUUUAAGCAUAUCGAUAAGCGGAGGA